GCUGAUAUGCAAGUUGAGAUGAGGCAGAGACCAUGGCAAAAAAUGACAACAGCAGAGCUUGAGCCCCUGCUUGAAGCGAGUCCUGAUACAUGCUGGUGACAUGAGGACAAGAGCACCUGCUAGAGGUAAAAGGACAUCCCCUUUAUGAGGAGUCCAAAAGCAAGGCACCAUGCUAGGAUGUUACCAUGCUAGGAUGUUACUGGAGACUGGGAAAAUGUAUCAGGGAGCUACGUCUGCUCUACUUUUUUAUUAUUUGCAUCCAUCCUCAGCUGCCAUUGGGAAGCCAGAUGCGAUAGGCUCACCCUAAGCAGAGUGCAGCUAUCGUGAUAGCUUGACACAGUUCCCUAUGGGAGGAACAGUCCCAUUGAACUAAAUGGCACCAUUCAUGGAUGUAUUAUCAUGAAUGCAUCUGUGUAUUUACAGGAUUUGGACUUUAUUGAGGAUUACAAGGCUUCUGCGCAGAGCUUCUGGUCCCGCUCUUUGGGCAUCAUGGAUAUCCCUGUUUGCCUUGCUGCGAGAGCCAGGAGCUGCUCCGACCACUGCUACAAAAGCUUUGGAAACACACAGUCAGGCCAGCGGCGCAUGGUAUAUAUCUGCAGCAGAUUUUAACCAUGGCAAAAGGGAAAAUAAGUUCCUGAAGGCAGUCAGAGCCUGGGCUGAGUCCCGAGAGAGCUGGAGGAAUUUCACUGCAGCAACAAUCAGCAUCUUCAGCGGAGGAGAGAGCAGCAGGAAUGUGAAGCAUUUGUCCUCUCUGCACAGCACUGUGACAGAGUCACCCUCCACUCCCAGCCCGCUGGUGACAGUGCAGCCCCUGCGUGCCGCAAUCAUGUACAAGGAAAGGUCGGGGAGAGGUGGGCAGUGGGAUGGCUGAUUCAGCAAUCGCACAGCGCUGGCUUUUGUGGGGCUUUACUCUGUACCAAGAUUAAGACGCUGUUGUUUAUGCUGGGAUUAUGCCCCUACUCCCAUGAUACCUCGAGCAGGCUGACAGUUAUCCUCCCUGUCUUCUCCCUGCAGCUAUUUUCUUUGCUGGCAGGGAGGAAAUUGCUCGUGUUUCGUUUGUGCUACCGUUGUUCCAGCUGCCGGAGCAGCAGUGUUUGUCCGCCAGCCCGCGUCCCUUCAGCCCCGCCAUCUGUCAGCGUUCCUGUGUGCCAGGCACCAUGCCAGCGUGCUGGUGGGUGUGAGGGGCAAAGCAUGCAGGCGGGCUGGUGGCGGUCCUCCCCCUGCCCGGAACGUGCAGUCCCGAUCCGCGCCGCUGAGCGGCACCGUCCCUCCAGGCACACGGGGACCCGCGACCCAGCGCCCCGCCGUCACCCACCCGGUCAGAUGGCCCCACAGAGUCACCUCACCCCACGGGGAGACCAAAAGUCCCGGCCCUUAGCAUCACCGGUGUCCGCACCCCAACAUGGGCAAGGCUUGGCUGGUAACCCACAGCACCGCUACGUCACCCAGGUUGCAUCGAACACAGCGAAGCACUGGAGAGCUGUUCAUGAGUUGCAGCAUCUGGACUUGGUGUUUUAAGGAAAAAAAGGAAAAAGGGAAAGAAAAAUACCAUGGCCUGCUAUUCCUUUCCUCCCCAGACCAGGGUGGAAUUCUUGUAGCACCGCGCUUCCUCCCUCAAAUGCCCGUACUCAAAGACUGGUGGCCCAACGAACAAGGCUCUUCUGAAAGAAAUACAGGCAACAGAGAGUCCUGUUGCCAGUCCCAUCCUUUCAGUGGCAUUGAAUGCAGAAAGGCUGUUCCUUGACAGUUGUUCUGCCAAGCCUAAAUGAGCUGUGUCAGCUCGGGUUUGGAUGCUUUCCCUCCCAGUCCCAGGCAUUUUCUCCUGCAGUCACUGUAGAGCACAGGCAAAUCAGGCAGCUGCUGAGUGGAUGGCUGGACCUGAAAAAUGGCCCAUCACCUCUUUGCCAAUGCUGCGGAGCCAGGCGUCCUGUUGUGGGACCCUGCUUCCUGCUCCCCUCCGGUCAGAAAAGGAGAAUGAAGCCUAUUCUGAUGUUUUGACCAGCCUUGAGCAUGACACCCAGCUGGGAUGUCCUCCAUGUGAUGCACCACACCAUCUCUGGAAUAGCACUGUGCCUAUUGGUACCCCUAUUCUGCCAUGACUUGUUGGGUGGAGGAAGCAAGACUGCAAGAAAGGUCACAAAUAUUGGAUGAAGAGCACAGCUGCAGUCGCACCACACUUUGUUUUGGAAAACAUCUGCCUGUCUCCUGUGUGAUCCGAGCAAUAUGAAGGCAAGGACUGACGUGCUUGCAUGCCAUGGUGCUGGUAGGAAAGCAGGGAUUCCCAGAGAGAGAGACAGCCAGCUGUGUCUGCCCCAUUGACCUGCCCUUCUCACACUCCAGCUCUUCAUGGGGAAGAUGUGGAGUCACCUUCCACACCCAAGCAGCUUGCUGGUCAUGUCCGUGACGCAUUUGUCCCUUUUGCCCUCAUAUCCUGCAACUCAAAGGCUUCCUGCUAGCUGAAAAUAGAGGGUUAGGGAAUGACCAAGCAGUCUGCUCAAAAUUAAAGGGGAGAGAAAAAGCCCUUUGUUUGUAUAGUGUGAGUGGGUUUUCCUCAUGGGCUUUUUUUUUUUUUUUUUUUUUGUGGUGGUGGUUUCUUUGUUAUUGUUGUUUUUUGUUGUUUGGGGUGGUUUUUUUUAAGAUUUCCUUGCGUUUUUAUUGCUAUUGUGACUGAAGGUCUCAGCUGAAGCUGUAUUACCAACACAUGAUAAAAAGGUGUCUGUGUCUUCAGGACCUUCCCAAGAAGUCACACACAAUACAAAUUGUUGAGAAGAGGGAGAGCAUGUCUACUAAAGCACGGUAAAAUGAACAUCUACUUUUUUGGCAGGGUUUUACUGUAAAUAAAAGAAGAAUUGGUUGUCUCUGACUUCGGCA
ensembl:lncRNA